rnacentral:tRNA from 1 species
UAUAGCUCAGCUGGGAGAGCGCUUGCAUGGCAUGCAAGAGGUCAGCGGUUCGAUCCCGCUUAUCGCCU